rnacentral:lncRNA from 1 species
CUGGGGUGUGGGGUGUGGGAUGUGGGUCUGGGGUGUGGGGUGUGGGUAUGGAUGGGGUGGGGAUUGCUCCAGCCAAGGUCCAGGAACACACACCUAUAGGCACUUUCCUCUUAGAAAAGGCACGAAGGUCUCCCUUCACCCCAGUGUGACUAGCAGUGCUUGGGGAGCUGGCCUAACUGGUUUUAAAACAAAGGGGCUUACUGACUGUGGAACAGAACCCGUGAUGUCUACUACCUAUGGAGAGAAUGCUCGAGAAAGCAAAGCUGUACAGUAUGUAGAAGAUGUAAUGAAAGGAAGAGGCUCUGUGGACCAGCUCCGAUGUAUAUAUGGACUUCUAGGAAAGCCUUGAUCUACUCCAAGCCUUCUUUGUAGCAGGAAGAAACUUGUUC